AGGUCACGGUUCUAAGGAAGACAUAGAUGUGGCCAUGAAGCUUGGGGCCGGUUAUCCUAUGGGUCCGCUUGAGCUCUUGGACUACGUUGGAUUGGACACUUCCAAGUUUAUUAUUGACGGUUGGCACGAGAAGGACCCCGAGAACCCCUGUUCGCUUCCAGUCCCCUGCUCAACAAGCUGGUCGCAGAGGGCAAAUUGGGCAGGAAAACCGGCGAGGGAUUCUACAAACACAAGUGAAGAAUAAAUCACAUUUUCGCUUUGUCAACGAAAUGAGCCGCUCAUCCCGAAAAGGCUGCUUGAUUGUGGAUUUUAUAAUUGCUUCACGGGUAGAGCGAUCAGAUGCACCACCUGGACGAAAUGUUGGACCUCACGCAAUCGGUCAGGGCAUAAAAGGUUAAAAGGCUAUACUGACCGUUGCAUCUAGUGCCUUGCUGUGAUUUGGUUAAAAACUUCAAUACAAUUCUGAGUUUCUGUGGAAUUAAAUGGUUUGAAAACA